rnacentral:rRNA from 1 species
AUUGAACGCUGGCGGCAUGCUUUACACAUGCAAGUCGAACGGUAACAGGUCUUCGGAUGCUGACGAGUGGCGAACGGGUGAGUAAUACAUCGGAACGUGCCUAGUAGUGGGGGAUAACUACUCGAAAGAGUAGCUAAUACCGCAUGAGAUCUACGGAUGAAAGCAGGGGACCUUCGGGCCUUGUGCUACUAGAGCGGCUGAUGGCAGAGUAGGUAGUUGGUGGGGUAAAGGCUUACCAAGCCUGCGAUCUGUAGCUGGUCUGAGAGGACGACCAGCCACACUGGGACUGAGACACGGCCCAGACUCCUACGGGAGGCAGCAGUGGGGAAUUUUGGACAAUGGGCGAAAGCCUGAUCCAGCAAUGCCGCGUGCAGGAUGAAGGCCCUCGGGUUGUAAACUGCUUUUGUACGGAACGAAAAGCCUGGGGCUAAUAUCCCCGGGUCAUGACGGUACCGUAAGAAUAAGCACCGGCUAACUACGUGCCAGCAGCCGCGGUAAAUAC